rnacentral:tRNA from 2 species
GCCCCUAUAGCUCAGUUGAAUAGAGCGUCGGCCUCCGAAGCCGAAGGUCGCAGGUUUGAGUCCUGCUGGGGGCGCCA